UACAGGGGGGGCAAGCGUUGUUCGGAUUCAUUGGGCGUAAAGGGUGUGUAGGUGGCGCGCUAAGUCGGGUGUGAAAUUUCGGAGCUUAACUCCGAAACUGCAUUCGAUACUGGCGUGCUUGAGGACUGGAGAGGAGACUGGAAUUCAUGGUGUAGCAGUGAAAUGCGUAGAGAUCAUGAGGAAGACCAGUGGCGAAGGCGGGUCUCUGGACAGUUCCUGACACUGAGACACGAAGGCCAGGGGAGCAAACGGG
rnacentral:rRNA from 1 species